GGUGUAGUACGGAGUUACUUCACUUGUAAUGACGUGGUCACUGGUUCGAAUCCAGUCUUUAGCACUA
rnacentral:tRNA from 1 species